AAAGAGGCCGCCCUCAUUGCAGUCAGCUGAGCUGGGCGAGCUGCGGCUUCGCUCCGGUCCACGCCUCCUUCCCUCGGGCACCUCCGUGACUGCUGAAGGCGGGAGGGAUGGAGGUAACGCUUCGCCGAGCGGCUGGAAGGGGCCGGGCGGGUCUCUGAGGGCCGCCCCUCAGGUAAAGCUGCAGAGAAACCCCACCGGACCGAGGAUCCUAUCAUUCUAUUUGACCAAAGCCCGGUUUCCUCUUGUUCCACACCUUCUCUUGCCUUAAAAUGUUAAUAACCACUUAACUCUGGCCUGUGGUUUCUUGAUUGCACCCACCUGCAGGGCCUGUGUGAUGUGUGAGGGAGAGACGCGACGAGAAAUGGAUUUUGCUGGUGGAAUUGGCAGCUGGGGGCAGGUAGUAAACCAGUGCUGGAGUGCUCUGGUAAAGGAGAUGUCUGGUCCAGGGCCUGCAGUUCCAUUUAAGCUGUGCUGCUGUGGGAUGUGGCUCUGUUGGUGAGGAUUCUCUACUUUACCCAAGCAGGGAUAGCUCUCUGCUUCACCUGGACUUGUGCUAUGAUAAUUUCUUGGGAAACUCUCAGCAGCCAGUGAAACAGCCCUCCUAGUGUUCGUUCUUCCUACAGCCAGCAGGGAGGUGGGCUGCCUGCCUUUUCUCCUACUCACUGUUCCCACAGGUGAAUCUUCAUGGCUUGUGCUGAUUCAGGGCUGGCACCAAGCAUAGCAAGUUGCUGUUUGACUGAAGUCUCCACAUCAUAACAGUUCUGCUUUGGGAAAAGCCUGAAAUCAGCGUUGAGGGCCUGGUGAGAAUGCAGUUGCAAGUAGGAUUCUUUCUCCUUCCCCAAAGGGGAAAUGCCCUCAGGGUUAGAUGUUGCUCAAGGAUGCUGCAGUGAACAGGCCCUGAGGGAGAAGCGAAACUAAGCAUGGACAGGAGCACUGAUGUCUUGCUGUAACCCAAGCAGUUACUUUUUGGACUGAUACUUUAGCUUUAGGUAUUGUGCUACGUCUUGCAGGAUUCAGGAUCCUCUCAAGCAAUGGGAAAGGAAGCAAAAGGGAAACAAAGGGCUUUUCAUGCCAGCUCUUGUUAUAGGAAGCCCUAUGCUCGAAGGGAACCACCCCCUUGAGUGUUGGGCUUUGACACUGUAUCAGCACAGAGAAGAUCAGACAGGAAAUUCCUGUUCCCACUCUCCCUUCUCCUUUGCUAGCUCAGUGUAAGGCCACAGUUAAAGAUUAUCUGUCUCCAAAUAAUGCAGAGUUAACACCACCAGCAUCUCUCUUCAUACCCUUGGUUAGACCUUGAGAGCAGCAGGAUGCAGGCAGAGUAAACUCCUGAUUCCACACAGGACUACUUAAAAAUUAAACCAUAUGUCUAAGCUUGCUGUCCAGACACUUGGUGCUAUGACUGCUACGUAAGCUUUCAGGCUUGUGAUGAAGUAAUUAAGUGUGAGUAUCACCUUACCAGGCUGUGGAGACAUGUUCUUUUGUUAAGGACACCUCUACUCUGGUCAGCAUCAACUUCCUACCAGAGCUAUAUGAGUGCAGGUCCAUUAUAUGUUGGCUGGUGAGGAAAAAAGUAGCUAAAUUGUGGUCCUUUCCACUCACAUCCAAUAUUACAGCCCAGCUGCUUGUGUAAAAACACCUACGGGUUUGAAAAUUACCCAUUAAAAGCUGUGUUUGAGAAGAAGCAAUUGCUUCAAUAGAGCAAUAUUUACUAGCUUUGCAGAAGGAGCACAGUGAGACUCACCCCUAUGAAAAUCAUGUUGUGUUAAUGUCUCUGGGGUGGGCUUACUUUAUUCAGGCUUAACCUUUGUUAACCUUUGCUUUCUUCCUGUCCUUGCAUCUGCUGUGUAUUUUUAACCUACCGCUUCAGUAGCAUCCUGCACACAUUCUUCCCUAGCCUCCUCCUGCCCUUCCUGCCUCACUUUGUCUACCAGCCUGGGGUACAGGAGCAUUGCAGCUGGCAUCUCACACUGUUAACAUUCUGCCCUGCCCUCCAGCAGCUGGGAUGCACUGUCCCAGGCUUAGGCCCAGUUAUGGCCAGUUAUGAGAUCAGGGGUAACUCACUGCAAGUUUCUGAUGCAGUCCAGAUCAGCACUGUAUGCAGAUCUAGUGUAGGGAAUCUCAAAUGCUGUUUUCACAGCAGCAAUAGAACUAAGCCUCAGAGGGGACCCUCUGCCCCCUGUGCUGCCUAGUGUCAUGCAAGGAAUAAUUAAACUAGCUGAGCUCUAGCUUGACUUAGGCAAUUAUUCACUUCCUACCUACUUCCACAAGAGCUUCCCCCCAUUCUCUGCAUUUUGGGACAGGCUUUUUUUGCUUGAUCCACAGUACAAAAGAAGCAAUAAGGAAACUCCUCCCUAUUCCUUGUUCUAACCACUUCAGACAUGCUGCCAGUUUGCUGCAGGGUACAAAUUAUCAUAAACUCAGGGAGCUCCCUUACCUAGAGAGGUUUCAGCAGUUCUGGUAUACUAGCAACUAUCAGGGUAGAUGCCCAUUCCUCUGCAACAAGCAUUCUGCAAAGUACAACUGCUCCAGAGCACCUGUCUGUGUGGUUUCUUUUGCUCUCCUCUCAACUCAGGUAAGCUAGUUGUCUGUUAAAUAGGAAGAGAGGGGGUGAACACAAAGGAAAUCAAACAGUUUCCUGUUUGUUUAUCAUGAACAAAAGCUUGUUUGGCUGGUCUGCAUGUUGCUAGCAGGCUAGCCCAGCUGCUGUGGUUAGUGCAAAACUGAGCUCUUCCACUAGCAUGAAAGGAAGUAGUAAAGCCAAGUCUCCAGGGGAUAGGAGAGAAGAAUCUCCCCCCACACCCUUUGGAAGUUUGCAGACAAGGCAGAGCAGGGUGGGCUGGGAGAUUUCACUGUGGAUUGUAAGGCUUUGAUGUGUGAAGGUAGCAACCAAAUGCUGCUCUUUGGUCUAAAGCAGGAGAUGCAUUCUGGCACCUCUGCCAGCACAGAAGGUUGCAUGCAGGGCCCUUCAACAACCCCAGCAGGUCUCUCAUGUUGCUCACAAACAGCAGACCUUAUCCAAAGCUAUCAGUCCCCAUAGCUUAGUUUUUGGGCUGCUUUCAGAUCAUUACCAGUGAUGAGUCUGUGGUGCCAUCACUGUAAUUGCUGUGGUGCCAAGUAACUAUAGGGCUUUAGACUGAAGAAAUGCCAAUCUUUUACCAACGCUGGGAUCUUCCAGUAUGAAUUGGACAUACUAGCUGUCUGGAUCCAAAGUCUCAAUUCUAUUUCCUUAUAUCAAGCUAAACAACUUCAACCCUUUAUUACUUCUGCCCAUCCUGUUAGUACCAAGCUAGGGAGGACUUUUAGGAUCAAAAGGAGCACAGGAGGAACAGUAGAAGGGCUGCAAGGAAACAACAAAGCAAAACCACCAUGGGACCAAGGUUAGAAGAUGACAGGCAUUUGCACAGUUCAGUAUUUUCUGUAGUUUAAAGGGGAUAAAACCUGGAGAUGGGACCAGAGAUGCUCAGUACAGUUGAACGGUCAUCAGUUUUACUACUACAGCCUGACACAGGGAAUAAAUACUUUUACCUGCUUUCCAGAACAGCACUGCCCCUCAGACAGCUUUUAUAUAUAGCUUUUUUUCUUCCCUUGUCUGGGCAGCGUAUCUCCAGACAGGCUGAAGCACAUCUUGGUCCUCACCGCCCUCCACGUGCAGAUAGCAGAACAGCUGCUGCCACCAUCUGGUGGGAGAGCAGCAUAGCUGCCGACUCAAUCCCCUCUUCAGUUUGCAUUCGUUUUGCUUUCUGAAAAAGAUAAGCUCACGUGCCCUUCUGAGCACUCUUUUUUAGAGUGACUGUCACAUCCACUGACCUUGGUGAAAGAACUAAAGCUACACAACAGGAGAAGUGGCAGGGAGUAAAUCAGGACUUCUGCAGAAGUAUCUUUUCCUCCAUGCCUGAAAUCCACCCACUGCGUUAAGUGAACUUCUGCUUUGUCACCCCCCAGACACAAUCCACUGUCCCUCCAGCUGUCACUGUCAUGAUUCACCAAGCAAGGCCACUACACAGCCCAGGUGUCUCUUGCUCUUAACUAACACCUGAAAAAACAUUGGCUUGACUGAAGAGCGAGUUCUCAGCUUCUGUUCCACAGUCCAAGGAUCUGCAACUUUGUAACAGCCCACAUUUAGUCAGCCCAAAGGCACUGAACAUUGCAGCAACACCUGAUACAAGCACUGUGGUGUUCUGAGUGUCACUGGGCCACUUAAUUGUGCCCAGAAACAAACAGAAGAAAACUCCUUUACUCAAGCUUCCUGAAAAGUUGGCAUUCUCAAACCUAGCUUAAUUAAUGGUCAAUGAAGCCACUACUCUGACAAUACAUGGGAGGCACACUGGUCUGUUCUGAAGCUUGUUCAGUUUUAUUUAUGAAUCCUCUAUCAGUUGAAUUUUCAUUUUCUCUGCUUUACCCAAUCAGGAAAAUGCAAGGAUUUUUCUGCAAAGAGCUGAUCUGGCAGGUAAAGGUGAUCAGGGUAGCUGUGGCUGCAGAGCCAGGUUCACUGUGGCAACUGGAGGAGUACAGACUGUCCAGAGGGCAAGUAGGUAAUGUUGCGAGACCUUGAGAGCUGGUAAGCAAUAUCUUCAGCUGCCUCCAGCUUGCGUAGCUCAAUUAGGCCAUCACCUGCAGUGGCUAGUGAGUUGGCAAUCAGCUCAGCUGCUUUGGAGUCUCCCUCAGCUGAGAUGACAGCUGCUUUCUUUUGCUGCUCAGCCUGCAAGGGAACAGAUGAGAAGGAAACUGAGCAGAAAAGGAAACAGAAGAUACUACUGUCAAGUUUAAAGUAUAAAUUUCCCCUUCACCAGCCUAUUUUUCUAUCCUCCAGAAGACUUAAGAGAGCUAAAACAGGUGGUUGUAUUUUAAAGCUGUAUAUAUAUAUGCACACUUUUUUUUUUUUUGCCUACUGUGGAGGAUAGGUUUAAGACAAUCUCAAGUUGAUUUUUAUCUUAACCUCCUGGAACAGCAACUCACCUAAGGGCACUCUUGGUGGAUAGCUAAGAAGAUUUGAGAACUGUGAACUAUAUUAGCAUUAUGGAAAUAUUCACCAUGAGAUGAAAUGACAGAGAUAGCAGGACUGUUUUCAAGCCAAAGUUUCUCAGAAGGAUAAAGUACCUUUUCCACAAUGAACCUGGCUCGCUCUGCUUCUUGCUGGGCCACUUGCUUCAUUUCAACUGCUUCAGUGAAUUCCUUGCCAAAGGUCAGAUGGGUCUGCAGGGCAGAAAUCACAGUUCACAACAGCAUUUACAGCGACACUGCUAUCAACCUCUAAGGCAGGAGGCAUCCUGCCUUUAUCAGAGAAGAUGGAAAGCCAAUAUCACUAAAAAAAAAAAUUAAAAAUGCAGUGUAACAGAAGCUAAGCCUAGCAAGCUUUCCCUUCUUUUAAAAAAAAGACUCAAAGAUGUGUCGUAAACACAUAUUUCAUAAACACAAUUUCAAUCCAGUAGGUGGGUCAACACAAAUAUCUUGAGACACAUACCAUGCUCUCCUACCAUUUCUUGCUUACAGAUUAGGAGCCUGCAGUCUGCCAAGCAACCCUGUUCUCUUCAUGCUCAACUAUGCACUGUUGUGCCCUCCCUGAGCUGUUCUGUACACAUACAGACUACUGGGAUGCUACAAGGGAAGUGUGAGUUUCCUUAAGUAGUGUAUUCAGAAAAAAAA